UAAUAAUUAGUUUAUAGGAACAUUACAAUUUGACUGUAAAAGAAGUGGUGCGAAUCUACUAUUAUUAG
rnacentral:tRNA from 1 species